rnacentral:rRNA from 1 species
CGCCGCGGUUAUACGAGAGGCCCAAGUUGACAAGCUCCGGCAUAAAGUGUGGUUAAGGAUUAAACUCUACUAAAGCCAAAGACCCUCAGAGCUGUUAUACGCAAAUGAAGGACCGAAGCCCAAUCACGAAAGUAGCUUUAAACUACCCCGACGCCACGAAAGCUACGGAA